rnacentral:rRNA from 1 species
UACGUAGGGAGCAAGCGUUGUCCGGAAUCAUUGGGCGUAAAGCGCGCGUAGGUGGCUUCGUAAGUCCGUUGUGAAAGUCAAAGGCUCAACCUUUGAAUGCCGAUGGAUACUGCGGAGCUAGAGUACGGAAGAGGCGAGUGGAAUUCCUGGUGUAGCGGUGGAAUGCGUAGAGAUCCGGAGGAACCCCAGAGGCGAAGGCGACGCCCUGGCUCGUACCUGACGCUCAGCCACGAAAGCAUGGGGAGCGAACGGG